CUCAGUUCGGAUUGUAGGCUGCAACUCGCCUACAUGAAGUUGGAAUCGCUAGUAAUCGCGAAUCAGAAUGUCGCGGUGAAUACGUUCCCGGGUCUUAUACACACCGCCCGUCACACCACGAGAGUUUACAACACCCGAAGUCAGUGGCCUAACCGCAAGGAGGGAGCUGCCUAAGGUGGGGUAGAUGAUUGGGGUGAAGUCGUAACAAGGUAUC
rnacentral:rRNA from 1 species